rnacentral:rRNA from 1 species
AUUGAACGCUGGCGGCAUGCUUUACACAUGCAAGUCGAACGGUAACAGGCCUUCGGGUGCUGACGAGUGGCGCACGGGUGAGUAAUGCAUCGGAACGUACCCAGAGGUGGGGGAUAACGCAGCGAAAGCUGUGCUAGUACCGCAUGUGAUCUGAGGAUGAAAGCGGGGGACCGAGCAGCAAUGUUUGGCCUCGCGCCUUUGGAGCGGCCGAUGUCGGAUUAGCUAGUUGGUGGGGUAAAGGCCUACCAAGGCGACGAUCCGUAGCUGGUCUGAGAGGACGACCAGCCACACUGGGACUGAGACACGGCCCAGACUCCUACGGGAGGCAGCAGUGGGGAAUUUUGGACAAUGGGCGCAAGCCUGAUCCAGCAAUGCCGCGUGCGGGAAGAAGGCCUUCGGGUUGUAAACCGCUUUUGGCAGGAACGAAACGGUGUCCGCUAAUACCGGGCGCUAAUGACGGUACCUGCAGAAUAAGCACCGGCUAACUACGUG